rnacentral:lncRNA from 1 species
CUAAAUCAAGGUUACCUAGCAACCCAGGGCUCUGUGAACAUUCAUUAUUCUAUAAAAUUCCACCACCUUACAAACACAAAAUGUUACAUAGUUGCACAGUUACCCUGGCUUCUGAGAUGAAGAAUAUUAUUGAAGUCAAAUCUGGUGGCUAUCACCCUCCAUGGAACUCAGGGCAACACUUAGGUACCUCUAACCAGGAAAGAAUCUCUGAGAAAUAGGUGACAGGUUCUCUAGCAGCAUAAGAAGAACCCUGACAAGCACCAUCCGUAAGUCCUGACAGCAGUGGAUGACUAGUCAGGAACCUGUCCAGAUAACGAUUGAUACACCUCCCAUGUCCCACCUCUCACCCACGACAGGAUCAAAGUGUUGGGGGAGCCACAGCCUGCUUCACCUACAAAGAGGCCAUUGACAUGGAUCUGCCAGCUUUCUAAGCCUUUCCCAGAUUUAAGCCCAGUCACAUCAAGUUGCCGUAUUAAAGGGUCUGCCCACUCAAAAGGAGAAAGUGCAAAAGAUGCUCAGCAAGGGUACCAAACGCAGUCAGAUGAUGCUCCCUGACAGCAUCCGAGAGCAAGCCUCACCACCACCUCUGUUAAUAAAAAAGAAAACGAGGAGUCGCCAAUUUGUCUAUUUAAAGAUGCCAAUAAAAUCCUGCACAGAACUUUAGUCAACAAGACUAUUUCAGAAGGGGUGGCCAGCAGCGUGGCCUUUCACUGGCAAGGGCCACCUUUGUCAUCACUUAAGAAAUAAAACCUGCCAAGUUUUCUGUGAGGCUCUCAAUAAAUCUUACUGAG